rnacentral:sRNA from 1 species
AAAGGAGGAUACAGUUGACUCAUUUGUACAGAGUAUAUGACUCAUUUGUACAGAAUGAAAACAUGUUUAUGAAGGUUCACACUAAGUGAAAGCUGGCAUCCAAGUUGAUUCAGACAAAAGUGAAAGUCAAGAAGUUAAUAGUACAUUAAUUCUCCAAAUGCAUGCCAGCAGAGCGUGGCAGGAAGGUACACAAGUCAGCAGAUCUGGGUUGUCCUGGUUCUCCUAUUGACUGGUGUGUGUGAUGUUAGGUGGGUGAACCUUGGCUUUGAAUCUCCAUUUGUAAAAUAACUCUCCUGAAAUAGAGAUGGAUAGGGUAGAAUACCAUAUUUCUUAAGAUCUUUUAUAAGUUGAUUCCAUUGUUGUAAAUUAUGAAUCCUAAAGUAUUUCUUUAUGAAACAUUUUUUAAGGCUAUGAUUCACUAAACUUUCUUAAAAUUUUAAAUUUUAGGGAAGACAUGUAAGGAAUUUGCAUAAGACAGCUAAGCAAAAUGGAGCUGGAGGAGCUUUAUUUGUGCACAGAGAUACUCCUGAGAAUAACCCUGAUACUCCAUUUGAUUUCACACCAGAAAACUAUAAGAGGAUAGAGGCAAUUGUAAAAAACUAUCCAGAAGGCCAUAAAGCAGCAGCUG